rnacentral:rRNA from 1 species
CUACGGGCGGCAGCAGUGAGGAAUAUUGCACAAUGGGGGGAACCCUGAUGCAGCAACGCCGCGUGGAGGAUGACGCAUUUCGGUGUGUAAACUCCUUUUAUAUGUCAAGAAAAUGACGGUAGCAUAUGAAUAAGCACCGGCUAACUCCGUGCCAGCAGCCGCGGUAAUACGGAGGGUGCAAGCGGUACUCGGAAUCACUGGGCGUAAAGGACGCGUAGGCGGGUUGGAAAGUCAGGUGUGAAAUCCUACAGCUUAACUGUAGAACUGCACUUGAAACUUCUAAUCUAGAGUAUGGGAGGGGGAGAUGGAAUUAGUGGUGUAGGAGUAAAAUCCGUAGAUAUCACUAGGAAUACCUAAAGCGAAGGCGAUCUCCUGGAACAUUACUGACGCUAAGGCGUGAAAGCGUGGGGAGCAAACAGGAUUAGAUACCCGGGUAGUC